CGAAAGGUAUGCUAAUACGGGAUAAUAUAUUUGAGAGGCAUCUCUUAAAUAUCAAAGGUGAGCCAGUACAGGAUGGACCCGCGUCUGAUUAGUUAGUUGGUAAGGUAACGGCUUACCAAGGCGACGAGCAGUAGCCGACCUGAGAGGGUGAUCGGCCACAUGGGAACUGAGACACGGUCCAAACUCCUACGGGAGGCAGCAGUGGGGAAUAUUGCACAAU
rnacentral:rRNA from 1 species